rnacentral:tRNA from 1 species
AUUUAUAUAGUUUAAAAUAAAACAUUACAUUUUCACUGUAAAAACAAUAAAUAAAUAUUUAUAAAUA